rnacentral:lncRNA from 1 species
GAGAUGAAUGCACACAUCACAAAGAAGUUUCUCAGAAUGCUUCUGUGUAGUUUUUAUGUGAAGAUAUUUGCUUUUCUGCAGUAGGCCUCAAAGUGCUCCAAAUAUCCACUUGCAGAUACUACAAAAACAGUGUUUCAAAACUGCUCAAUCAAAAGAAUGGAUCAACUCUUUGAGAUGAAUGCACACAUCACAGAGAAGUUUCUCAGAAUGCUUCUGUGUAGUUUUUAUGUGAAGAUAUCUCCUUUUCCAAAGUAGGCCUCAAAGCACUGCAAAUAUCCAUUUGCAGAUUCUGCAAAAAGAGAGAUUCAAAAGUGCUCAAUCAAAAGAUAGGUUCAAAACUGC